rnacentral:rRNA from 1 species
CGGCGCCAGCGCUGCGCCCGCUGAUCAGGUUCGUUUUCGUCGUGUGAGGGUGCGGUUGCGGUUGCCAGGUUGGUGAUCGCUCCUCAUCGCUCGUCGCUUCGCGGCCACCUCGACCGGUUUGGGUUUGGUGGUGGUGGGGCGGGGGGAGGGUGGAUGCGCCGCUAUUUCGGUCGGUCGCGCAGGGGGUGGGGUGGGGACAUGCGCUACGAAGGAAGGGGGCGGGAGGAGGGGAGCAUUGGAGGUGGGGGUGGGCAACGGGGGGAAGGUAAGGGCAAGGGCUCGACGAGGGGAGGCGAGGGGCGAGUCGCUCGGAGAGGUUAAGAGCAGUGGCGGCGGAAGAGACUGGGCCAGCAUAAAUAUGUCUGGAAAAGUUUUAGGUGCGGCGUUUUAUAAUAGGUGUUUAGGUAGGCUCCAAUCCGACGACGAGACGAAGUGACGAGAGGGCACCACUAAAGGCCAGAGCGGAGAGCGCACCAUUAAGCCGCCCACGAACCAAAACCGCCACAGAGUUCAACCCUAGGCCGCUAGACCAGGACUAAGCGCCACUAAACCACACAUCCAUCCAUACCCCCGCCCUCUCCCGCCCCCGCCCCCGGCGGCCGCCGCCUUCGAGCUCCCCCUGCUGCCUCUGCUGUCGCUGCUCCUCAUACAGAACCUCCUCCUCCUUCUACUCCUCCUUUAGCUGCUCGACCUCAUGCCGGUGCCUCCUUCUCUGCGGCGCAGAAGAUCACGGCCGCUCCUCCCUCCGCCGAGCCUGCGCCUCAUGCUCCACCUACUGCUCCUGCUCCUCCUUCUCUGCGGCGCAGGUUUCGCCGGCCACUUCUCCUUCCGCUUAGGCCGAGGGCGCGCCAGAGCGGCCGCUUCCAUACUCCUGCUGCUGCUAAUGAGCCUCCUCGACCUCCACCUACUGCUCUAACCACUGAUGGUCCUUCUAGAGCUGCUCCUUCUCCUCGGUGCUCCCAGGUUGACACUCUGCUUUACACCACCGGCGUCGGUCUUUCGCUUUUACGGAGGGCACCGAGUCGCUAGAUUAGCCGGCUACGUACGCCUCCUCCUCCUGUACCUGAAACUAGGACUGAACCUGCUCCCCCCUCCCCUGCUCCUGUGCCUAAAGCUGGGACUAAACCUCCCACUGCUACUACUCAAACUCCUGCUGCUUCUCCUCCUUGAGCCACAGUCGGUGUGGUCUUGCUAUGGCUCCGAAUUCUUAUGUGGGCGAAGCUUCGUCGCUGCUCCCUUCUUCUUCUUCUUAUCAUUAUGAUCAUUCCAAAGUUUCGCCUUCAAAGCCUUCGGACGCGGACAUUCCGUUGCCUCUUUCGCAAGACAGUAGCUCGUGAUACUCCUACUACUGCUGCUGAAGUAGCACCUCCUACUUGACCACUUCCAUUUGGCAUUGAGUUCCUUCUUCCGGUCCAAACCCUCCGUCCACCUCCAUCUGGCCGGUCACGGUCAACGGCUCCGUCUAUAUACCGGCCGAUAACUAAGUCUGAGUAGUCUCAAACUCAAACCUUGUAGGCUUCUACUUGGACUCCCACUCGGUCACUCUCGACGUCAUUCCUUCCCCUCCUUUUCCUCCCCCCAUAGCCCCAGUAGGAGUCUAAGACUUAAGGUACAGAGCCUAUUCCUUAACUCGCUACAAUCUCUUCUUCUCCAAUUCUGCUUCUUUUCCCAUGCGCAGAACGUCAGUAGGAGUCUAAGACUUAAGGUACAGAGCCCAUUCCUUAACUCGCUACAGUCUCUUCUUCUCCAAUUUUGCUUCUUUUCCCAUGCGCAGAACGUCAGUAGGAGUCUAAGUCUUAAGGUAUAUAGUCUAUUCCUUAAUUCGCUACAGUCUCUUCUUCUUCAAUUCUCCUUCUUUUCCUGUACACAGAACGUCAGUAGAAGUCUGAGACUUAAGGUACGGAGUCUGUUCCUUAACCCACUAUUGUCCUAUCUUCUCCGGUCCUCCUUCUUCUCCAAUGAGUAGAGCGUUAGUAGGAGUCUAAGACUUAAGGUACAGAGUCUAUUCCUACAGUCCCUGAACCCUCUCCGAUUUAGAGACCACCGAGUCGGGUACGACAGACACAGGGGCUCCUCCGAAAGAAAAUGUUCCUUACCUACCCUGUUUCCUUUCCUCUUUUUUCUUGAUCAUCUACGACCCUUCGGGACCACACCCUAUACGGAGAGACUCCUAGUCUCCUGCUGAGAUGUCCCUCACGACUUAACAACGAGUGUGAUGAAAACGAAGCGCACGUAGUACCUCACCAGAUUGCAGCUCAGUUCCACAGGUAACACAUUCUCCGCCAAGUGGUGCUAAUGGUUCAGUAGUUUUCACCUAGAACUAAACCUCGACUUUUUCAGACAUUAAUUCCAACUUCUCGCACUAGUCCAAAUAGUCGGUUGCCUUCUUCUUUAUUCCGCGACCAAUCUGGGUAUGCUCUUAGAAUACACGUAUCUCACGUUAGUUCCACCACUUCUAUCAGAUUACAAUAAUACACUAUAAACACUAAGGAGCCGUGUAUGAAUAACACAACCGGACCCUUCUCUUCAUGGACUUCCUUUAACCAUAACACCUCCUACAUCUGAGUCACCGCUCCCUAGUUGCGUAGGAUCUUCGGAAUGAUUGUCGUUAAGACGGGUCAAUCCGUACUGACAUGGGUAAUCGUGUAAACCUUCCAGUGACAGUUAGUUGUGAACCGUUUGAAAAGUUCCCAAACUAGAUUUACGUAGCGGAUCCCUCUAAGGAUCCGUUUUGUAAGUACGGCUAAGUGCUCGAAGUUGAAACCCACAUAGUUGAGGUUGACCUUCCGAACGUUGAGAAAGAUCUUCUGCACUUACCUACGUGUAAAACGAUCUAUCUGUUUCCGAGCACUAAUCAGUUCUGUGACCUGUACUACCACAUGUCGUGUCACCGAUACGAGGCUCUCGGCUGGGUCUGGUGUCCUUGAAGACACGAAGUAGUCCUAGGUUGAGAAACGUCGUGUUACUAAAAAACGGUUCUUAACUUGGUUUAGCGUCCUUGAAGAGAUCAGGAACCCUUCGUUUGUCAAGUGUUUGAGACGAGCUACUGUAAGCCCUGGUCGUGCCAACGAAAAGCAGACAAGUUCGAGUCUCUUUGAGAUGAGGUACGGAAAAACGCCUACCUUUGUUAAAGGUUGUUUGUCUUUCACAGUUGUCGUUACACUUCGUGUACACGUCAUAUUCAGGAGUAAUCUUACAGUAAGAUAAGACAACCACCGCACAACCUAGCUGGUAUUCAUCGUGCCUGUACGCGAAGAAUGGUGUGAAAUUAUAGGAAGGUCAUUGACACUAUUACGAGAUGCGACCGUGGCUCAUAGAGUGACUUAUACCGACCGGUAACACGAAGUUGAGUAGGAUACGCCAGUUACUGUCUUUUUACUUUUACAAGAGUAAUUGGAAAAUACAAUCGAAUCAGUAAAAAAAAGAAAACAAUAACGGUAAGUAAGUCAGGAUUUGUGCUAGUGCUUCAAGUCGUUACUGGUUCUACGCCAGUUCUAUAAAGACUAAAAAACCUGCCGAAGUAUACACAUAUGUAACACCAUAACCCUUUCGGUCAAGGUAGACUACUAGUAAGUUGCACUGUAGGACAGCAGAGUACAUUACAUAACGUGACAACAAGUCAUAGGUCCACGAAAGCAGGUG